AGACGCCGCUCCUGAGAGUUUGCUAUUUGUUUAGCUUCUGAUAAGGCACCAAUGUCUUCUGGCUGACUGAAGCCUGACUGUAUGUGCUGCUGGAGCUGAUUAGAGUCAGAGAAUCAGCCUGUGGGCGGAGACUUGGGUGGACUCACCUGCACAGCGUUCUUCUGAUGAGCCUGUGGCACCAUUCAAGCUGCUGGCUGAGAUACAUCCGAUGCUGGAAGAUGGUUUUAUAAAAUUCAGAAGAAUGUAGGAGAAAGAAGAAAGGGAAGAAGAAAUAGAAAGGAGGAACGAGUGAUAACAAGGUUAAGAUUUGGACAUACAGGACUUAAUUAUACACUUUUUAAAAUUCAAAAACAUAAAACUGGCAAAUGUGAUUGUUGUGACAAAUAUGAAACCAUAGAGCAUGUUAUAUUAGAAUGCCAUAAAUAUGAAAUAGAGAGAAGAUACAUGAAGAGAGACUUUGAAAGUAUUAAGGAGAAGGUUCAUUUAAUAGAUAUAUUGAGGAAGAAUUUAGGGAGUAAACAUAUGCAAAUAAUUAUUCGAUUUCUAAAGAAAACUAAAUUAUUUCAUAGAAUUGAAUUAUAGUAAGUGUGUUUGUGAAUGAAGACAUGAUAUACAAAGUUGUGCAUAAGUAUGUAUGUAUUAAGUUUAAAUGUAUGAGUGUAUGUUUAGAUAGAAUGUAUGGUAGAAUAUAUGUAUAUACAGAUGAGGAUAAAUAUUUAAACCAUCACGAACCACACUCCAUACCAGUAAGUGGCGGUAAUGCUACUAACAGUUUGUUGCCAACCGCCAUAAAUCCGACAAGAAGAAGAAGAAGAACAUCCAAUGCUGGAAUAUUCAGUCACCUUUGGUACUGUAUACAACAGCCUAGUGUUACCUCCUUGUGAUUCUUUGAAUCAACCCUUGUGAUUUUUGUGUACUUACCUGUGUUCAGGUUAAAACCCUGUGGAGUCAUCUGGAGAGGUUUUUCUGGUUCCUCCCUCAUUGAAGCUCUGAACUUGUGCUCUGGAACUAGACUUUGUGGAUCCUCCUUGCCAUCUCCGCCCUGCCUUUCUCCAACACCACCACCUACAAGAACAACCAAAUCCUUACAUCCUCACCAACCUGGAAAUCCUCUUCAGUCUACCCCUCCUUGCCAACCUUAACUCCAAGACCUGUAAGAUGAAGAAAACAUUUCACCUCUGCACAGAGCCCAACAUUUCCCUUCAGCAAAUCCUGGAUAAACAUCAUUGUAAAUAAACUCAAUUAACUUUU